CAGUGUAAUUAAAUUUGGUUUAAAUGAUUCUUUCUAUCCUACACUUGGCCAACAAGAAAAUUUAUUAAAAACCUUGUCGAUAUUUUAUGUCUAAAAUAUAUUAAAAAAAACUGAAAUCAAAUGCAACACAAUUUUAGAAAAAACUUAUUUUGAUUUUUUUAUGACGCCUUAUUUUGAAUAAUUAUGCAAUCAAAUACAGUUUAAUCUAAUUUAUUAAAUUAAACUUAUAAUAUCCUAAAAUACAUAAAUUUUAAUUAUUAUUUUGGUAAAUGAUCUUUUGUUGUCUUUUUCUGCAAAAAAAAUUAAGCAAGUUUUAUGUGCUGUUUAUUGUUUUCCUGUUGCUAAAAAGGAUUUAUAACUUUUAUGGUUUGACAAAUAAGCUGAAACAUCUCUCUAACUCUCUCAUUUCAUUUUCUCAAACUUUUCUACCAAGCUUUGUUUAGGAAAACGUUUAACUUAGAUGUGUUAACACUUCUAUUUCUUUCUUUAAUUCAAUUAAUUGAUCAUACAUUUUUCUCUAUCACACUUUUAGAAUUUAAUAUACAAUUUUCACUAAAAUGAUGAGAAGGGGAACUGGUGAAAAUAGAUCACUAACAUAUUUCAAAUUGUGAAAGAACAAAAGAACAAAAAUCAUUAAAUUACUUAUAUUUUAAAAAUAAUUGUAAAAAUAACAUAUAUGUUUACUUUACAGAUGGAAAGAUAUUGAUAAGAAAAUAUUAUCGAACACAAAAGAAAGAACUGUUGAUCGAAGUUUGUAACCUACAUAAUAAUGAAUGACAUUAGGUCGGGGAUCCGUGACUUCACAACUUUUUUACUGUAUAAAUUAUUUUCAGAAAUUUACGUUAACAUGUAUUUCUAUUUUCUAAGUUUAUCCCCCAAAAACAUAUGUUUCUAAAAUGACUCAUGUGUAUAUUGGACAUUUGUUAAGGAUAUAACUAACAUCUACUGUUAUUAUUAUUUGGUUAUAAUGUACUCAGUUAAACUGUUACUGAUGUUCCAUCAUUUGACAUUUUGACUAUUAUACUUACUAGUUUACAGUUCAUUUCACAAUAACAAUCCAUUUCCUUAAUAAUAUUCAUUAUCACCAUAUAUUACUACUAUAUAUCCACUUGUAGCUAACGGUUUAAUUAGUAUGAUUUGUGAAUUGUGAAACAAAACGUUCAAAUGGUUUUUAAAGUAAAACCGUUGAUGGUUUGUGUCAUCCAUUGCGGUUUGUGUCAUCCGUUGCGUAAGAGUUUUUUCUUAAAGACUGUUGGGUCGAAACCAUUGGCUAAGCUAUUAUUACUGGUGUUUGAACAAGUAUUUGACGGAAGCAUUUAUAGUAUAAAGAAAUGUGUGUUGUCUACUUGUCUCCAUGUAUCUACGACCACCACGUGUGGAGGUAUUAGUGACUCUAGGAGCUACACCAGCCAAACAUAAGAGGGACUUUGGAUAAGGCCAACGUUGAUUGUGAUGUUGCCUUUCCACCGACUUUCAAUGAUAAAAAUAGUAAAAUACUGACAAUUUGUGUAAUUAUUUGUUGAUAUCAGGAUUUGAAUAUUAUGGAAACUGAUUAAAUCGUACGUUAAAAAGUAAUAGUUGAUCCACUAACGCAUACCAGUCCAUUGUUAUUUGCUUCUGUGGGAUGGUUUUGACUUUAAGGUAAAGCGGUAUUGAGUCGUUUAUUGAUGUUUUGUUACUGUAAUCAAAUGGUCUUUUUUAACUUUUAGAACCAAAUGGUUCAUUGAAAAUAUUAGUGGUUGCGCAAAGAAAGAGUUUAGAGGAACUGGGAUGGGAUGGGGUGGAAUUUUUUAAUUUUAAUUUUGUCUAUAAUCUUUUUAAACAUUUUCUCCUUCAGUUCUCAUUCUUUGCCUUGUGCAUUCUUUCACUUUCUUGUUUUUCUAAAAUGUGGAAGGUGAGGUGAGCUCGUACGUAACGCGGCAAAAGAACGAUGCAUGUGUUUUUAUCCCAAGAAAACAACGAUGCCUGUGGAUUUCGGAACUCUUUGCGUUAUCUCCGGCAAAGUUGAGUAAUUAACAUUUCCAUAAAAUACCAGCAUUUCCAAAAUUCAUUUACGGUUCAUAGUUUAGACAACAAUUAGUUAAUUUUUGAAAGUCUUUCAAAUGUUUGAAAAUGACGCCACGGCGAUCUAGAAGGAGAAAUACAAAAUACAGUUAAUAACCAUCAAGAUGUGGAAAUCGAUACUUAUGUAGGACUUUUAAGAAAGAAAAAAAAUCCAUGGUUCAAAAUUUUAAGUUUUGGCCUUAAUUUGUCUAAAACAGACUUCAAAUUAAGCAGAACUAAUUUGUAGACCUCAAAUGUCGUUAAACAUAGAGAAUGAAGUGCUAAUCUAGUUUUAAGUUCAAACUCUUGUGAUAUAUUUUGUUUCUAAAAAUUGGUUGGCUCAAAAUUAAAUAGAGCAAUAGCAAUAAUUUUGGUGAAACUCCAAGGCAAAUAGCAAAACAUUCAUUGGUCUUAAAAAGAUACAACAAGAGAGAGGAGGCUAUAUGAAAAGGUCAUAAAAUUUUCAGAAAUGUUAGUUACUAAGACUAUCUUCAUUCCACUUCUAAAUUUUUUAGAAAUGUUAGGUAUAACAAUGAGACCCUUAAAAUAAUGCUUGCUAAUGAAUCAUAAUUACAUUUCCACUAGCAGUAACACUGUUGCAUUUUGCCUGAUUACCAAUUAGCAAUAGAGUUUCCACCUAACCCAAAAAAUAAAGUACAAUCAUUAUGUCUUGUUGUGUGUGUGGGGCCUGUGCAAAUGCAUAAGUUAUUUAAUUUACAGCAUAUGCCUUCUGAUUAAACGGGAGCCAGAGUCUAAACAAUGGAAAGACCAGAAGGUCCAGAACGCAAGCAGUGUAUCCGCAAGGUAAACUAUUAUUGGUACGUAGUGCGUUAUUUGAAAAAAGAAUCAGUUACUUUUUUUGGUAAAUAUACUGCUAUCGAGGAUUAAUACUUUUGAGAACAGAUUGAGUAUUGAUACUUAAAAAGAAAUAUUGAUCUAAACUACCAUUUAGCUUUUCAGUGUUUUUGAUAAAAUGAACGUAAUUCUAAGAUAGUAACAAGUUAACGUAAAAUAUGAAUAUUCCUUUAGGUAGUUGUCAAACAUUACAUGAUUUCCAUUUAUUUAUUAACGUAAAAUAUGCACGGUAGAAUAGUGUUUUCUUUCUAAUAUAUGAAAUUCCUUUUUGGUUAUUUAGGUAGAUGUCAAGCAUUACAUGAUUUCCAUUCGGUUUGCCUAAUUUUUUUGGAAUUGAAAUUCCAUCUUCUUCGAUAAUUGAUACAGCUUAAAGCAAGCAACACCAUACAGUAAAAGUUUUGCUAUAUUGUAUCAUCCAUCAUUUUCUUGAACAAAUCAUAUGGUAUAGUAUGGAUAUCUAUCACACGUCGCACUCUUCUUAAAAAGGAUUUGUAAUUUUUUAUUCAUCAAAAGACGUAAAUAUGCAUAUGAAUGAUAACAUCAAGGAAGUUUUUAUUUUUUCAGAGACAAAUCCACAUGCCUAGAUUUAAUGUGUUUACGAUAUGAUUAACUUUUCUAGCUUUCUGUAGAACCUAUGAGAAUCUUCGUAGCACAUUUUUUCUUAAUAUUCCAUGCAUGAUAAAUGGAUUAUUUUCCUUGGAUGAAAUGAUUAUGGAGACUUUUAACAUUUAUUUUGAUAUAUUCCUAUGCUAAAUAAAUUCUUAAGCACAGAUUAUGUAUUCUGUUUAAUCUGUACUAUGAGAUCAGGAAAAAUAUAAAGCUGAGGCUUAAGUGGUAGGAGAUGUGGGGCAUAUACAAAUUUGGAAAAACAAUGUGUUUUUGUUGGUGUUGUUGACUUGUAAUUAUAAAUAGCAAUAGACACGUCUAGAAUGUACAUGAAAUAAAUGGUGUUUGUGUCUCCAGGAAGAAUAAGAACCAGACUUUGACCGGCAUCCUUGCCGCACAGAUAUUUAUUUUUAAUUUUUUAUAAAUAAUUAUUUAUAUAAGUAAUAAUAUAUUAUAAUUUUACUUAUAUUAAAUAAUUGUUUAAUAUAAUAUUUUUAAACACAAUAAUUUAUAGUUUAUAUUAAGUAAUUUUAUUGUGUUUUGUACACUGUCAAAUGUAUAAUUCACACUUUUAAAAUAUAGUAUGUGUAUUCACACAAAUGUAUUCUUAUUUUUUAUGAAUCAAAAUUGUAUGAUAAUAUAUAAUAAAUUGUUUUAUAUACUAUUUAAAUGUUGUGCUAUAUAUUUUAUACUCUUCAACAUUUAUCAAUUUCCAUUGAGCUAUUAUUCAUAUGAAAAUAUACGUAAAAUAAUAUAUUAUAUAUUAAUUUAUAUUUUAUUUAUAAAUAAUAUAUUAUAUACUAAUUUAUAUUUUAUUUAUAUAUAUCAUAUAAGUGAUUCUUAUAAAAUUUAGGUAUGUUUUAUUGUUAUUUAAUUUGGUAAAAAUAUAAUAAAUGCUAAAUGUUAGAAUUAUGUAGUUUUGUAAUGGUAUUAAAAUGUAAUUUAAUAGUAGGUUUAAUUUAUGAUCACUUUAGGAAAUGAUUUUAAAUUAGGAAAAUAUAAAUUAUAGGGUAAUUUUCUCAAAUAGCCCUCUUUUAAGUUUUUUUAGAAAAAUAACACUCAAUAAGAAAAAUGACCAACAUAGCUCUUUUUGUUUUGAAAAUUUAAAUUUAAUUUUUUUAUUUCUAAAAUUUUAAACCCUGUUUUUAAAAAUUUCACCUCAUAAUCCUAAAUUCUAAGUCUAUAUUAAUUUAACAUAAGAUAUAAAUAUAUUUUUACUCUUUAAUAAAAUUUAUUUUGGUCAUUUUUCUCAUUAGUAAUUGUUAUGUGCCAAAAAUAGUUAUCUUAAAGAAUUUCUCUAAAUCAUAUUUGAAUAUAUGUUCAAUAAUUAUAGUGGUAUUCUAGUGUAAAUAAAUUAAUAAAACUAAAAGGCAAUUCUAUUAUAUAUAUAUAUAUAUUUUAAUAAUAUAGAUAAUAAUAAUAAUAAUAAAUGUUAUGAGACAUCACUCACAUCAAACAAUACCAUAUGUUAUUCAAAAAAAGAAUCAUCUGGUCUGAUCCACUCUGCAGUAGGUCGAGUUGGGAAGUGUGAAGACUGUGCGAAUCCCUGAUAUAUUUUUACAGUUUGUAACUCAGCUCACACCUCUGGAAGAUUUUCUAUCAAUAUGAAAGAGGAUCUUUCAUUAACGGUCUGAAGAUUAACCUGAUAAAAACUGCAUGGCUCAGCAGGCGAUGAAGAAUGGAACUUUUACCAAUGGAAAAAAUAGUUACAAGAUAAGAUUUAAUAAUCAACAGAUAUUUACAACAGAAUUGAGACUUCAAACAUAAACAAU